UACGGGGGGAGCAAGCGUUGUCCGGAAUUACUGGGCGUAAAGAGCUCGUAGGUGGUUUGUCGCGUUGUUCGUGAAAACUCACAGCUCAACUGUGGGCGUGCGGGCGAUACGGGCAGACUGGAGUACUGCAGGGGAGACUGGAAUUCCUGGUGUAGCGGUGGAAUGCGCAGAUAUCAGGAGGAACACCGGUGGCGAAGGCGGGUCUCUGGGCAGUAACUGACGCUGAGGAGCGAAAGCGUGGGGAGCGAACAGG
rnacentral:rRNA from 1 species